rnacentral:rRNA from 1 species
AUUGAACGCUGGCGGCAUGCUUUACACAUGCAAGUCGAACGGUAACAGGUUAAGCUGACGAGUGGCGAACGGGUGAGUAAUGCAUCGGAACGUGCCCGGUCGUGGGGGAUAACGCAGCGAAAGCUGCGCUAAUACCGCAUACGAUCUGAGGAGGAAAGCGGGGGACCGUAAGGCCUCGCGCGAUGGGAGCGCCCGCUGUCAGAUUAGGUAGUUGGUGGGGUAAAGGCUCACCAAGCCAACGAUCUGUAGCUGGUCUGAGAGGACGACCAGCCACACUGGGACUGAGACACGGCCCAGACUCCUACGGGAGGCAGCAGUGGGGAAUUUUGGACAAUGGGCGAAAGCCUGAUCCAGCAAUGCCGCGUGCAGGAAGAAGGCCUUCGGGUUGUAAACUGCUUUUGUACGGAGCGAAAAGGUCUCCUCUAAUACAGGGGGCUCAUGACGGUACCGUAAGAAUAAGCACCGGCUAACUACGUGCCAGCCGCCGCGGUAA